ensembl:lncRNA
CCCAUUUUUAGAGCUGAUCCUGUCUGUGGCAUAACUAUGACUGAGUGAACAAAAACGCUUUGUGUACUUCUCCCAGGCUAUUGUGGCGCUGGACAGACAUAUUAUGGGAUUACUAUUAGGGAGCUAGCUUGCUCCUUUGAUGGAGAGCUUACCUGGAGGAUAAAUAUGGUCAACGACUCGCUUUUUAGGCCCACAUCAGCCUGUGUAUUCCUCCAUAGCUUGAAAACAGUUCCUCUAUUUAUUUAAGCCGUUUCACGCUGCAUUGUUCUAAGCCUUGGGCUAAGGUGGCAUGUGUGCAAAGCCUCUUGAGUUCUCCGGAGCUUUAUCACAAUUUCUUUGAGACUGGCAACGCAGGAUGACCGGGAACAAAAUAAACAAGAGAAAAUCCCCGGGAAGGCGCUACGAGCGGAGCCUGGCUUCCUCAACGGCUGGGGUUCACAGUAGUUUGUCAAAGUUUUCUGAGGUUGUGAUCAGUCACGAUGGUCGUUUGCUGUGGUGUUGGUGGAUGGCCAGACAGCGCUGCAUUUUACAUUGUGUUGGUGUCUCCCUGCAGCCCUGACCGGUCGAGGCAUGGACUCCACUAAACUUCUGAAGGUGUGCUGUGGGAUCUGGCACCAAGACGUUAGCAGCAGAUCCUUUAACUCCUGUAAGUUGCGAGGUAGGGCCUCCAUGGAUCGGACCUGUUUGUCGAUUGGAUUGAGAUCUGGGGAAUUUGGAUGCCAAGUCAACACUGCCUCUGCCAGUUUGCAUUCUUCCCAUAGUGCAUCCUGGUACCAUGUGUUCUCCAGGUAAGUGAUGCACACAAACCCGGCCAUCCAUGUGAUGUAAAAGGAAACGUGAUUCAUCAGACCAGGCCACCUUCUUCCGUUGCUCCGUGGUCCAGUUCUGAUGCUCACGUGCCCAUUGUAGGCGCUUUCGGCAGUGGACAGGGGUCAGCAAGGGCACUCUGACUGGUCUGUGGCUAUGCAGCCCCAUACGCAACAAACUGCGAUGCACUGUGUGUUCUGACACCUUUCUAUCAGUACCAGCAUUUACUUUUUCAGCUAGUAGUACUGGUCUAACUGGUCCAAGUCUAGUAGUACUGGUCUAACUGGUCCAGAUCAAGUAGUACUGGUCUAAUUGGUCCAGGUCUAGUAGUACUGGUCUAACUGGUCCAGGCCACGUAGUACUGGUCUAACUGGUCCAGGUCUAGUAGUACUGGUCUAACUGGUCCAGGUCAAGUAGUACUGGUCACAAUGGUCCAUGACUAGUAGUACUGGUCUAACUGGUCCAGGCCAAGUAGUACUGGUCUAACUGGUCCAGGUCUAAUAGUACUGGUCUAACUGGUCCAGGUCAAGUAGUACUGGUCACACUGGUCCAUGACUAGUAGUACUGGUCUAACUGGUCCAGGUCAAGUAGUACUGGUCUAACUGGUCCAGGCCAAGUAGUACUGGUCUAACUGGUCCAGGUCAAGUAGUACUGGUCACACAGGUCCAUGACUAGUAGUACUGGUCUAACUGGUCCAGUCUCUGCUUUAGGCCAUGUGCUGUGAAGCACUGCAGGUCAUCUGCGUAGAGCAUUUAACCUCUGAAUAUUACAGACUGACACCAGAGGAUUUUCCGAAUAUGUUGGCCAAUUCAUUUGAAUUAAUAUUGAAUAGCACAAGACUGAAUUAAUGUAACCCUGGGCGAAAGGAGUCGUCUUGCCAAUUGAAAUGCAGCACAUGUUGCUAUUAUUCAUUGAUUUAAUUAUGUAAUGUUUUACACCACUUUUAUUGACUUUGUAGCAUCAUCCAGAGUGCCAAGUAGAAUCAAACACUUUUUGGAAGUUAGUAAAGCAAGCAGUUAUUUUUGGCUUAUUAUGGUGGUCCAUACAGUAGAAAUAUGAUCAUUUGUGUUUUGGUUAAAAUCCUGUUUGGUUUCACUUCAACACAUUCUGAUUAUUGAGAACUCUUGAGUUUAUAAUGCUACAGAGAUCUACAGAGAUCUUCAGCUUCUGUUCACACAAAUGCUUCAAGUAAUGGUUUUUCUAAUUUGUCUCAAUUCUUAAAAAUUGGCAUAUGAGUCCAGUGAGUCUUGUAAAAUAACAAAUUGACAUUUUGCAUGGUGAAUAUGAGCAUCUCAUUUGCGUAUAUCUUUUGUUUUAAAUUUUUUAUUUGCGAACCUGGUAUUGUUCAUGAAUCUCCUGCACAGUAAUUCAGAAGUCCAAUGGAUUUUGAUUGCUCUUUGUGGAAUUGUUCAAUCCAUUCAACUUCAGCAUUCAGCAUUGUUCUGCCUUUGCUUCAAUUUGAAGAGUAUUUAAAUGGGUUGUCCCCUCGUCAUUCUUCUGUAUCGCUCAUUCCUCCUUUGAGUGUGUUGUAUUUCCGGAUUCACCAGAAUGUCUUUGUGUUUAGAGACUUCUCAAUAAGAGUCAGUUGCUCUCUGUUGUAUUGUUCUGUCUUAGUUCUUGAGUGCAGAGUUUUGAAGUUACACACUAUUGUGUAAUUCACCAUCACCUCUCUCUCCCUCUGUGCAUGCUGGGAUUUUGAGUUUGAGCUGGGUGAGGAGUGGAUGCUGGUGGUAGGGUGCCAGCCCUAUCUCUCUGAUCACCUACACAUACACAAUGGUCACCAGUACACACCUACACAUACACAAUGGUCACCAGUACACACCUACACAUACACAAUGGUCACCAG